rnacentral:tRNA from 1 species
GCCGCCGUAGCUCAGCCAGGGGUAGCGCCGGCCCGUCAAGCCGGAGGUCGCGGGUGCAAGUCCCGUCGGUGGCGCCA